AUGGUCACUGUUGUUCGCACUCAGAAGCUAAGAAUUAAUGAGUUGAGUAUUGUCCUUGGAGGAAGCUUUGAAGCAACUCCAAGUUGUGGUAUUAGUCAAGAGUCUAGGCUAGUAAUUGUCAUGGAAGUAUGUCUUUCUAUUUUUUUAGAAUUAUUGUUGAUCCAAUCGCUGUCUGUGAUUGAAAAUGGAUUAAGGAGAGCCUCAUAUCUAGGUGAAUUUUAG